GCAUGCCCAAGAACCUGCGCUACACGCGCAAGCCGUACCCGUGCGCGCAGUGCGGCAAGGUGUUCCAGUCCGCCUGGAACCGGAUGCAGCACAUGACGGUACGCAUCCACCCCGCAUCCACCUAGUGCAUGCACAAGAACCUGCGCUACACGCGCAAGCCGUACCCGUGCGCGCAGUGCGGCAAGGUGUUCCAGUCCGCCUGGAACCGGAUGCAGCACAUGACGGUACGCAUCCACCCCGCAUCCACCUAGUGCAUGCACAAGAACCUGCGCUACACGCGCAAGCCGUACCCGUGCGCGCAGUGCGGCAAGGUGUUCCAGUCCGCCUGGAACCGGAUGCAGCACAUGACGACACACACCGGGGAGAAGCCGUUUUCGUGCAAGUUAUGCUACAAGCGCUUCACUCAGCCACAGAGCCUCCGCAAGCACCUCCGGAUAUGCCACUGAAGACCAAUAGAGUAUUAGAAUAACUGACCAUCUUCUUCCUCUUUCGAGUCAGUGAACAUACUGAACAUGCGAAUUAUUAAAUUUGUCCAGACGGAUAUGCCACUGAAGGAGUAUUAGAAUAACUGACCAUCUUCUUCUUUCGUGUCAGUGAACAUGCGAAUUUUUAAAUUUGUCCACACCAAAAAGAAGAAAUUUGAUAGCAUUCUGGUUGGCCUGGAGUAAGUCUUCCCGAGUGCAGGUGGAAGGGCACAGGGGACAGGAGAGUAAAUGCUCCAUAGUCUACUCUAUAACUGACCAUAGACCAUGAUGAUGCCACAUACUUUAUAGUCUAUCCCCCUUAUUCAUAGAAAAGUUAUAGAACGUGUUAGCUAUUUAACUAUUUG